CAGACUGUAGCUUAUCAAUUAAAGCUUAUUUUUUACGUUAAUAUGAAAAUGUAUUUAUUCUGUCUGA
rnacentral:tRNA from 1 species